rnacentral:rRNA from 1 species
GACGAACGCUGGCGGCGUGCUUAACACAUGCAAGUCGAACGGUAAGGCCCUUCGGGUACGACGAGUGGCGAACGGGUGAGUAACACGUGGUGAUCUGCCCUGCACUUCGGGAUAAGCCUGGGAAACUGGGUCUAAUACCGGAUAGGACCAUGGACUUCACGGUUUGUGGUGGAAAGCUUUUGCGGUGUGGGAUGGCCCGCGGCCUAUCAGCUUGUUGGUGGGGUAAUGGCCCUACCAAGGCGACGACGGGUUAGCCGGCCUGAGAGGGUGUCCGGCCACACUGGGACUGAGAUACGGCCCAGACUCCUACGGGAGGCAGCAGUGGGGAAUAUUGCACAAUGGGCGCAAGCCUGAUGCAGCGACGCCGCGUUGAGGGGAUGACGGCC